AAUAGAUACCCAGGUAGUCCACGCCGUAAACGAUGCUAACUCGUUUUUGGGCUUUAGAGUUCAGAGACUAAGCGAAAGUGAUAAGUUAGCCACCUGGGGAGCACGUUCGCAAGAAUGAAACUCAAAGGAAUUGACGGGGGCCCGCACAAGCGGUGGAUUAUGUGGUUUAAUUCGAUGAUACGCGAGGAACCUUACCAAGACUUAAAUGGGAAAUGACAGAUUUAGAAAUAGAUCCUCCUUCGGGCAUUUUUCAAGGUGCUGCAUGGUUGUCGUCAGCUCGUGCCGUGAGGUGUUAGGUUAAGUCCUGCAACGAGCGCAACCCCUGUCACUAGUUGCUACCAUUGAGUUGAGGACUCUAGUGAGACUGCCUACGCAAGUAGAGAGGAAGGUGGGGAUGACGUCAAAUCAUCACGGCCCUUACGUCUUGGGCCACACACGUAAUACAAUGGCAGGUACAGAGGGCAGCUACACAGCGAUGUGAUGCGAAUCUUGAAAGCCUGUCUCAGUUCGGA
rnacentral:rRNA from 1 species